AAGGUUUUUGUUCUGAUUUUUUGCAGGAAUCUUCAUCUCUUAGAAAAAUAUUGGCCGUGAACUUCAACUUCCUGCACAUGUUAGUUGGAGAUGAUUUCUUGAUGUUUAAUGCAAAACGCAUUGAGAGAGUAGUAUUAGAGUAUGCAUGUAACGCUCUUUUUCUUAAGGUAAGUGAUUUAAAUGGACUUUGAUUGGGUUCCUUUGUUUAGUUCAAAAUUGUUCUCACUUUUUCUUCAUAAAAUUAAUCAUAUUUCGUUAAUAAAGAUGUUUGGAUAUCCAGAGUUUGAAAAAAGUUGCUUCUUUAUGCAAUACCUUAGAAGUAGAGUUUACAACUU